rnacentral:tRNA from 1 species
GCGAAGGUGGCGGAAUUGGUAGACGCGCUAGCUUCAGGUGUUAGUGUCUUUCGGACGUGAGGGUUCAAGUCCCUCUCUUCGCACCA